GGAUGUGAGGGCGAUCUGGCUGCGACAUCUGUCACCCCAUUGAUUGCCAGGGUUGGUUCGGCUGAUCUGGCUGGCUAGGCGGGUGUCCCCUUCCUCCCUCACUGCUCCAUGUGCGUCCCUCCUGAAGCUGUGUGCUCGGUCGAAGAGGACGACCAUACCCGAUAGAGGAGGACUGGUCUUCAGUCAAGGGUAUACGAGUAGCUGCGCUCCCCUGCUAGAACCUCCAAAGAAGCUCUCAAAAGAAGACCUACAAACAGCCAACAAAUGUGAGAAAGAGCUCAACAUCACAAAUCAUCAGAGAAAUGCAAAUCAAAACCACAAUGAGAUACCAUCUCU
rnacentral:snRNA from 10 species